GACGAACGCUGGCGGCGUGCUUAACACAUGCAAGUCGAACGGAAAGGCCCUGCUUUUGUGGGGUGCUCGAGUGGCGAACGGGUGAGUAACACGUGAGUAACCUGCCCUCGACUUUGGGAUGACUUCAGGAAACUGGGGCUAAUACCGGAUAGGAGCUCCUGCUGCAUGGUGGGGGUUGGAAAGUUUCGGCGGUUGGGGAUGGACUCGCGGCUUAUCAGCUUGUUGGUGGGGUAGUGGCUUACCAAGGCUUUGACGGGUAGCCGGCCUGAGAGGGUGACCGGCCACAUUGGGACUGAGAUACGGCCCAGACUCCUACGGGAGGCAGCAGUGGGGAAUAUUGCACAAUGGGCGGAAGCCUGAUGCAGCAACGCCGCGUGCGGGAUGACGGCCUUCGGGUUGUAAACCGCUUUCGCCUGUGACGAAGCGUGAGUGACGGUAAUGGGUAAAGAAGCACCGGCUAACUACGUG
rnacentral:rRNA from 1 species